rnacentral:rRNA from 1 species
CUACGGGCCGCACCAGUGAGGAAUAUUGCACAAUGGGGGGAACCCUGAUGCAGCAACGCCGCGUGGAGGAUGACGCAUUUCGGUGUGUAAACUCCUUUUAUAUGUCAAGAAAAUGACGGUAGCAUAUGAAUAAGCACCGGCUAACUCCGUGCCAGCAGCCGCGGUAAUACGGAGGGCGCAAGCGUUACUCGGAAUCACUGGGCGGAAAGGACGCGUAGGCGGGUUGGAAAGUCAGGUGUGAAAUCCUACAGCUUAACUGUAGAACUGCACUUGAAACUUCUAAUCUAGAGUAUGGGAGGGGGAGAUGGAAUUAGUGGUGUAGGGGUAAAAUCCGUAGAUAUCACUAGGAAUACCUAAAGCGAAGGCGAUCUCCUGGAACAUUACUGACGCUAAGGCGUGAAAGCGUGGGGAGCAAACAGGAUUAGAUACCCGCGUAGUC